GAUCAUGGCUCAGGAUGAACGCUGGCGGCGUGCCUAACACAUGCAAGUCGAGCGAAGCGUUUUUAAAGGAAGUUUUCGGAUGGAAUUUGAAAUGACUGAGCGGCGGACGGGUGAGUAACGCGUGGGUAACCUGCCUCAUACAGGGGGAUAACAGUUAGAAAUGACUGCUAAUACCGCAUAAGCACACAGUACCGCAUGGUACAGAGUGAAAAACUCCGGUGGUAUGAGAUGGACCCGCGU
rnacentral:rRNA from 1 species